ACAGGGGGGGAGACGAGGGGUCGGAAUCCAAAGGACGCAGACCACCUUUGGUUACGGACCCCUUUCUCCCCCCCUUC
rfam:Herpes simplex virus type 2 (strain HG52), complete genome